AUUGAACGCUGGCGGCAGGCCUAACACAUGCAAGUCGAACGAGUGGCGGACGGGUGAGUAAUGUCUGGGAAACUGCCCGAUGGCGGGGGAUAACUACUGGAAACGGUAGCUAAUACCGCAUACCAUCAGAUGUGCCCAGAUUGGAUGAGCUAGUUGGUGGGGUAACGGCUCACCAAGGCGACGAUCCCUAGCUGGUCUGAGAGGAUGACCAGCCAAACUGGACCUGAGACACGGUCCAGACGCCUACGGGAGGCAGCAGUGGGGAAUAUUGCACAAUGGGGGCAAGCCUGAUGCAGCCAUGCCGCGUGUAUGAAGAAGGCCUUCGGGUUGUAAAGUACUUUCCGCGGAGAGGCGUUACCCGCAGAAGAAGCACCGGCUAACUCCGUGCCAGCAGCCGCGGUAAUAC
rnacentral:rRNA from 1 species